GACGAACGCUGGCGGCGUGCUUAACACAUGCAAGUCGAACGGAGCGAAUGAAAGCUUGCUUUUAUAAGCUUAGUGGCAAACGGGUGAGUAACACGUAGGCAACCUGCCGACAGGAUGGGGACAACAUUCCGAAAGGAAUGCUAAUACCGAAUGAAGCGCAGGAGAGGCAUCUCUCCUGCGUGAAAGAUGGCCUCUAUUUAUAAGCUAUCACCUGUCGAUGGGCCUGCGUCUGAUUAGCUGGUAGGUGAGGUAACGGCUCACCUAGGCGACGAUCAGUAGCCGGUCUGAGAGGAUGAACGGCCACAUUGGGACUGAGACACGGCCCAGACUCCUACGGGAGGCAGCAGUGGGGAAUCUUCCGCAAUGGGCGCAAGCCUGACGGAGCAACGCCGCGUGAGUGAAGAAGGUCUUCGGAUCGUAAAGCUCUGUUGAUGGGGACGAACGUGCCUAAUGCGAAUAGUUUAGGUAAAUGACGGUACCC
rnacentral:rRNA from 1 species